rnacentral:rRNA from 1 species
AUUGAACGCUGGCGGCGUGCCUAACACAUGCAAGUCGAGCGGUAACAGGUGUAGCAAUACAUGCUGACGAGCGGCGAACGGGUGAGCAAUGCUUCGGAAUCUACCCAAUGGUGGGGAAUAACCAGCCGAAAGGUUGGCUAAUACCGCAUACGUCCCACGGGAGAAAGCAGGGGAUCGCAAGACCUUGCGCCAAUGGAUGAGCCGAAGUCGGAUUAGCAGUUGGUAGGGUAACGGCCUACCAAGGCGACGAUCCGUAGCUGGUCUGAGAGGACGACCAGCCACACUGGGACUGAGACACGGCCCAGACUCCUACGGGAGGCAGCAGUGGGGAAUAUUGGACAAUGGGGGAAACCCUGAUCCAGCGACGCCGCGUGUGUGAAGAAGGCCUG